CUAAAUAGUGCGAAACGGGGUGUCCUGCUUCCCUGGUGGGGGGCAGGCUGAAAAGGGAAGCCGGUGCAAAUCCGGCGCGGUCCCGCCACUGUGAGGGGAAGGGCCCCACAUUAUGUCACUGGCCCAGCACUCAGUUAAUUGAUUCUGCUCUGACAGAGGUUAGCUGAUGAUAAAAAUAAAGUAGCGAUGAACGGAAAUAAGUAUGGCUGAGUGUUGGGCUGGGAAGACGUGGAGUUCCGAUGAACCCGAGCCAGGAGACCUGCCCCGUUUUAUCUACCAUG
rnacentral:ncRNA from 2 species